rnacentral:rRNA from 1 species
AGGAUUAACGCUGGCGGCGUGCCUAACACAUGCAAGUCGAACGAGGUAGCAAUACCUAGUGGCAGACGGGUGAGUAACGCGUGGUCAACCUACCGUUGAGUGGGGGAUAACUAGCCGAAAGGUUAGCUAAUACCGCAUACGAGUCUCGGGGGCAUCCCUGGGCCUUAAAAGGAGCAAUCCGCUCGAUGACGGGACCGCGUCCCAUUAGCUAGAUGGUGGGGUAAUGGCCUACCAUGGCUCCGAUGGGUAGCUGGUUUGAGAGAGCGACCAGCCACACUGGGACUGAGAAACGGCCCAGACUCCUACGGGAGGCAGCAGUGAGGAAUUUUCCGCAAUGGGCGAAAGCCUGACGGAGCGACGCCGCGUGUGGGAAGAAGGCCUUCGGGUCGUAAACCACUGUCGAAGGGGACGAUAAUGACGGUACCCUUGGAGGAAGCCCCGGCUAACUACGCGCCAGCAGCCGC